AGCGAACGCUGGCGGCAGGCUUAACACAUGCGAGUCGAGCGGGCAUAGCAAUAUGUCAGCGGCAGACGGGUGCGUAACGCGUGGGAACGUACCUUUUGGUUCGGAACAACUGAGGGAAACUUCAGCUAAUACCGGAUAAGCCCUUACGGGGAAAGAUUUAUCGCCGAAAGAUCGGCCCGCGUCUGAUUAGCUAGUUGGUGAGGUAAUGGCUCACCAAGGCGACGAUCAGUAGCUGGUCUGAGAGGAUGAUCAGCCACAUUGGGACUGAGACACGGCCCAAACUCCUACGGGAGGCAGCAGUGGGGAAUAUUGGACAAUGGGCGCAAGCCUGAUCCAGCCAUGCCGCGUGAGUGAUGAAGGCCCUAGGGUUGUAAAGCUCUUUUGUGCGGGAAGAUAAUGACGGUACCGCAAGAAUAAGCCCCGGCUAACUUCGUG
rnacentral:rRNA from 1 species